AUCACACUGUGCUAUUAGCUUCUGCUUCUUCUCAGGUUUCAAAUUUUAAAGGUAAAUGUGUUAUUACAGGAACAGAUUCUACAACUGCAUUAGGCAUUACUGUGUUACCUAUGGUUAUGAGUCUCCAAGAUCCUAAAGUUGUGUCUGUUGUAAUUAAACCUAACUUUGUACCCACAGUGAUUAAUCCAGAGGAUCAAAUAGCACGGGUCAUACCCAUGGAGGAAGAAACCCAGGAUGAACAGGGAAUUUGCAUUAAUUGGGCUCAAAAGGUUACUCUUGACAGACCUAUAAUAGAAUGUACUCUUCUCUCUCCUAAUUCAGGCCAACAGAAAUCUGUGUCUGGCUUACUGGACAAGGGAGCUGACAUUUCCAUAAUCUCUGCCAAAGAUUGGCCCAGCACCUGGGGUACAACAAGACCAGCUGUCGACAUCCAGGGAGUAGGAGGGUCCAAAAUUCCUCUCCAGAGCAUUUUACCACUUCUGGUCCAAGGCCCACAGGAUUUCUUAGCUCCUUUGUUUCAACUCCUUAAAGGAGAAGCAGAACUAACUUCUCCUCGUCAUUUGACACCAGAAGCAGAAAAUAUUAUUGAAGUGAUCAAUCAGAAAAUUUCAGAACAACAGGAGCAGGUCCAAGAUGGAUACCGUCCAGACUAGUAAGGAUCCACCAAGAAGUUUCCCUCCCAACUCAACCAGCAGCAGAUCCAGCACCAACAGAUUCAGCACCAACUACAGGAAGCGAUCCCCUAUCAGCAUCACUUUCGGGAUAAUCCUGUUUCUUGUGUGCAGCAUAACACCAGCAAAUCAGAAAGACUUAACGUCAGGAGCCCUUGCCACACCUCCUCCAACAAUUCCAAAUUGGGUAAUGCUCUCUGGCCAAAAUGUUUGGCUAAA